rnacentral:rRNA from 1 species
UACGUAGGUCCCGAGCGUUGUCCGGAUUUAUUGGGGCGUAAAGCGAGCGCAGGCGGUUUAAUAAGUCUGAAGUUAAAGGCAGUGGCUUAACCAUUGUUCGCUUUGGAAACUGUUAAACUUGAGUGCAGAAGGGGAGAGUGGAAUUCCAUGUGUAGCGGUGAAAUGCGUAGAUAUAUGGAGGAACACCGGUGGCGAAAGCGGCUCUCUGGUCUGUAACUGACGCUGAGGCUCGAAAGCGUGGGGAGCAAACAGGAUUAGAUACCCCCGUAGUCCCUGAG